rnacentral:rRNA from 1 species
ACGCUGGCGGCGCGCUUAAUACAUGCAAGUCGAACGAGAAGCCAGAGCUUGCUCUGGUGGAAAGUGGCGAACGGGUGAGUAACACGUGAGAAACCUGCCCCAAAGAUUGGGAUAAGCCUUGGAAACGAGGUCUAAUACCAAAUACCUUCCUUUUAACACAUGUUAAAAGAAGAAAUGCUCCGGCGCUUUGGGAUGGUCUCGCGAUCUAUCAGCUUGUUGGUGAGGUAACGGCUCACCAAGGCAUCGACGGAUAGCUGGUCUGAGAGGAUGUCCAGCCACAUUGGAACUGAGACACGGUCCAAACUCCUACGGGAGGCAGCAGUAGGGAAUCUUGCACAAUGAGGGAAACCUUGAUGCAGCGACGCCGCGUGCGGGACGAAGGCCCUAGGGUUGUAAACCGCUUUCAGUAGGGACGAAAGUGACGGUACCUACAGAAGAAGCCCCGGCCAACUAUGUG